rnacentral:rRNA from 1 species
GACGAACGCUGGCGGCGUGCCUAAUACAUGCAAGUCGAGCGGGCCUCCGGAGGUGCUUGCACCUCCGGAAGGCCAGCGGCGGACGGGUGAGUAACACGUGGGCAACCUGCCUUUGAGGCCGGGAUAACACCGGGAAACCGGUGCUAAUACCGGAUACGUCCUCUUUCGCGCCUGCGAGAGGGGAGAAAGACGGUCUUUAAGGCCGUCGCUCAAAGAGGGGCCCGCGGCGCAUUAGCUGGUUGGUGGGGCAAGGGCCUACCAAGGCGACGAUGCGUUGCCGACCUGAGAGGGUGAUCGGCCGCACUGGGACUGAGACACGGCCCAGACUCCUGCGGGAGGCAGCAGUAGGGAAUCAUCCGCAAUGGGCGAAAGCCUGACGGUGCAACGCCGCGUGAGUGAGGAAGGUUUUCGGAUCGUAAACCGCUUUCAGGAGGGACGAAGCUACUCGGGUUAAUAGCCCAGAGGGUGACGGUACCUCCAGAAGAAGCCCCGGCUAACUACGUGCCAGCCGCCGCCGUAAGAC